UUGGCGUGUGGCAAAAUAAAAUGACAUAUCCUGAAAUAAAUGCCAGGCUUAGAUCAGACGAAGACUUUGCUUUAAUGUCAGACACAGAUCACCACCUGCGACCUAGUCCCCUUACUGGCAUUGUUCAGAUGGUAACCCAGUUUCCCAUUGAUUACAUGCACCUCUGCUGUUUGGGUGUAACAAAAAAACUCAUUAUUUUCUGGAUGAAGGGCAAAAACCUGGCCAUAAGACAGCCAUCUAAUGUCAUCUCAGCUAUAUCAUCUAAACUGAUUGCUCUCCGUCCCCAUAUUCCAUCUGAAUUUGCCCGAAAACCACGAGAGCUGACAGAGAUCGAAAGAUGGAAGGCUACAGAACUAAGGCAGUUCAUGAUGUACAGUGGACCUGUGGUCCUAAAGCACAAUCUACCAGAAGAGAUUUUUGAGAACUUCCUGUUGUUUUCCGUGGAUGGCACAGGUGUGGAAGGUCGUCGAAUUCAAAGAUAGGAGCACUACCAUAGUGCCAAGCAGCUGGUUGGAGGAGGCAGGGGAGUCAUGGAAUUGUUUCUGGCCUCCUAGUUCUUACGAUCAUAACCGCCUCCAGAAGGCAGUCGCGCACCACCUUCCUCCAGGUGCAGCGUGGGACGUGCACGGUGACGUGAGGGUCUUGGUUAGCUGUGCAACAUAUGUUAAGGCAAAGGACUACCUGAAAAAGUCCUUACUGUGUUUAACAUCAGACAUACAGUCAGAGGCUGAAGACCCUAUCAGAAGGAAAAAAAGGCCAAACUCACGCUACCUGCAGGAGCCAGCUGGAAGAGUCCAGACCACUACGGGCCCGCCGCAACACUUUUUUGAAGGUGUGGACACUGAUGACGAGGCACCACCCCCCCC
ensembl:lncRNA